AACGAACGCUGGCGGCAGGCCUAAAACAUGCAAGUCAAACGCCCCGCAAGGGGAGUGGCGCACGGGUGAGUAACGCGUGGGAACGUGCCCUUCAGUACGGGACAACGUCGGGAAACUGACGCUAAUACCGUAUAAUAUCUCCGGAUCAAAGAUUUAUCGCUGAGGGAGCGGCCCGCGUCUGAUUAGCUAGUUGGUGAGGUAAUGGCUCACCAAGGCUACGAUCAGUAGCAGGUCUGAGAGGAUGAUCUGCCACACUGGGACUGAGACACGGCCCGGACUACUACGGGAGGCAGCAGUUAGGAAUAUUUGACAAUGGGGGAAACCCUGAUCCAGCCAUGCCGAGUGUGUGAUGAAGGCCCUAGGGUUGUAAAGCACUUUCGUUGGGGAUGAUAAUGACCGUACCCAAAGAAGAAGCCACGGCUAAAUUCGUGCCAGCCGCCGCGGUAA
rnacentral:rRNA from 1 species